rnacentral:rRNA from 1 species
CAAAAACAUGGCCUUUAGAGAAGUAUUUAAGGUCGGGCCUGCCCACUGAAGUAAUUGAAGGGCCGCGGUAUUUUGACCGUGCAAAGGUAGCAUAAUCAUUAGUCUUUUAAUUGAAGGCUGGAAUGAAUGGUUUGACGAAAUAUUAACUGUCUCUUUAUAAUAAGUAGAAUUUAACUUUUGAGUCAAAAGGCUUAAAUAAAUAUAAAAGACGAGAAGACCCUAUAGAUCUUUAUAUAAUUCUGUAAUUGCUUUAUUUAGUUGUUUUAUUUACAAUUAUUUGAUUGUAUUUUGUUGGGGUGACAUGAAGAUAAAAGUAACUCUUUAUAAUAAUAACAUUGAUUUAUGGGUAGUUGAUCCGUUAUUAACGAUUAUAAGAUAAAGUUACCUUAGGGAUAACAGCGUAAUUUUUUUUGAGAGUUCUUAUCGACAAAAAAGAUUGCGACCUCGAUGUUGGAUUAAGGAAUAUGAUUAGGUGUAGCAGUUUAAUUAAUAAGUCUGUUCGACUUUUAAAUCCUUACGUCAUCUGA